GACGAACGCUGGCGGCGUGCUUAACACAUGCAAGUCGAACGGAAAGGCCCUGCUUUUGUGGGGUGCUCGAGUGGCGAACGGGUGAGUAACACGUGAGUAACCUGCCCUUGACUUUGGGAUAACUUCAGGAAACUGGGGCUAAUACCGGAUAGGAGCUCCUGCUGCAUGGUGGGGGUUGGAAAGUUUCGGCGGUUGGGGAUGGACUCGCGGCUUAUCAGCUUGUUUGUGGGGUAGUGGCUUACCAAGGCUUCGACGGGUAGCCGGCCUGAGAGGGUGACCGGCCACAUUGGGACUGCGAUACGGCCCAGACUCCUACGGGAGGCAGCAGUGGGGAAUAUUGCACAAUGGGCGGAAGCCUGAUGCAGCAGCGCCGCGCUCGGGAUGACGGCCUUCGGGUUGUAAACCGCUUUCGCCUGUGACGAAGCGUGAGUGACGGUAAUGGGUAAAGAAGCACCGGCUAACUACGUG
rnacentral:rRNA from 1 species